rnacentral:lncRNA from 1 species
GGGAGAUCAAAAGAUUGGAAUGAAAUUAAAGUGAUUAACUGCUGGGCUGAAAUCAUCUCACGUAAUUCUUACUUUCUAUUGUUUCUCAAAGUAAUCUUUGCCCUUCAUAGAUGAUAUUUUUCUUCCCAUAUUCUAUUCUUGGUUAUCACUGCCUUAUUUCUUACAUACUUAUUUCUUCCUUCACCUUGACAAUUUCCCUAAAUGUUUCUUCUCCCCUCUAUUUCUUCAUUGCUUUAAAAUUUAUUACAGGGGAUAAAGUGUUUAAGGCAGAGAUGACUUUGAUUCUCUUCUAUUUAGGGUACAGUAGCCAGUAUGCCGAUUUGUAACCCUUCAAUGCCUAUUGAUCCAUUUUUGGAAUGCCUCUGAUAGUGGGACAUGGUGAAAUAUGUUCUCUUCAAAUUCUUGAAUUCCUUGAAUUUUUCUAGGUAACAUAUAACUUCAUGCAAAUACUCAGAAAAAUUCCAAUCCUCGGAAUAAAUGAGUUAAACUUAAGUAGAAGAAAUAAUAACGAAAACUACUAUUUUAAUAAACAUUCUACUCUAUUCACUUACUUAUUCAUAUUAAUAUUUUGUUACAAUUUCUGUUACAGAUGGGGACAGUCUCGCUCACAGACAGUCGGUAUCACCAAAUCUAUACAACUAGAGAGCCAAUUUGUUUCCCAGAAUGGAAGGAACUGCUUAUCUCAGGGAGAGGAACUUUGCCCUGUGGUGCUGUUCUGGUCAGAUAAGCAGACAGCUGCUGAUUGGAUGGGACAAACUUGGCUGUCUUCUUUCCUGGACUAAAAUGAGCAGCAGGAACAGAGCCACUUGAUGAUGGAUCAGGGAGCCACAGCCAAAGCUGAUGGUAGGGAUGUUUGGGGGUGGAAUAAACAUUUCAAUGACUCUAAACCUAAAUAUGUUUUGCUUGAAUUGGCUAUUUUGUUACAGGUUUCUCUCGUUGGC